GGAGGGACUCGAGGGGAGCACAACUGCUCUCUGGGGAUGGUUCUUUUGAACUUUCCGUAUAAACUCGUAGUGAAUACUGAAGUACAGCUGGAGCAGUUCCCUCCUGAAGCAGGAUCCAGGAUUCUCAGCCGUGCUUCAGCCGGGGUCCCCGGGGAUGCCCCCAGGGAAGGAGCAGGGACUGACAUGUUGUAUCAGGGCCUGUCUGACCCAGGAAUCUGGAACACAUUAAAUCAAACCCUCGGCAUCACCGUGACUGACCACAAGUGCCUUGCUCGGCUGCUCAGCUUCUUUUUUCAACGUGUCAAAACUGGGAAGUUUUUCAAGAAGCUUUUUCUGUGAUUAAAGGGGACACUGGAGGAACCUGCCUCUCCCUCUGACCGAAAAUCUCUUCUCAAUUUGGUUCUCAUUUCUUUCUCUUAUAUUUGAAACU